rnacentral:rRNA from 1 species
UACGAAGGGGGCUAGCGUUGUUCGGAUUUACUGGGCGUAAAGCGCACGUAGGCGGAUCGAUCAGUCAGGGGUGAAAUCCCGGGGCUCAACCCCGGAACUGCCUUUGAUACUGGUAGUCUUGAGUUCGAGAGAGGUGAGUGGAAUUCCGAGUGUAGAGGUGAAAUUCGUAGAUAUUCGGAGGAACACCAGUGGCGAAGGCGGCUCACUGGCCCGUAACUGACGCUGAGGCACGAAAGCGUGGGGAGCAAACAGG